AAAUAUCAAUGAUGGAUUGGUGAGUAUAACAUGAAGACAAAAAUAUAAAUAUUUUAUUUUCAAGAUAAGAAAUUCAGCUUUUACUCAGUUACUCAAUAUAUAAUAUCUUAAAUUAUUUUUUAAAAAAUAUACAUAAUUUAUAUAUAUAUAUUAAUCUUCCAAACUUAAACUAUUAUAUUAUAUAUGAAUAAUGUUUUUAAAUAAAAAUAAUUUCUGAUUUAAAAAAAAAAUAAAAAACAACAAAUGGUUAUUUUCAAAUAAUAGAUAUAAUUUAUAUUAUACUAUCAUUUAACAAGUAUUAGAUACGUUUUAAUAUAUCAUUAUUUUCUAUUUCCAGAAAACAAUAAAUUGUUAAACAUCAAUAUCACCUAGGUUAAGUAUACG
rnacentral:lncRNA from 1 species